CAGCGUUGCCGCCCCGCUCGAGGAAAACAGAUCCGCAACGAGAGCCGCGACGGGGAGAAAAAAAGAGUUUGGAGUUGGUCCUCCGGCGGGCGCCAUGGGAUCCGGGGCUGCGACGCGCCCGGGGCAAGAGAAUCCCGCCGAGGCAACAGAUUGGUAACGUUCACAUUGGGGUUUGGAAGUAAAAGUCGUAACAAGGUCUCCGUUGGUGAACCAGCGGAGGGAUCAUUACCGAGUUUACAACUCCCAAACCCCAAUGUGAACGUUACCAAUCUGUUGCCUCGGCGGGAUUCUCUUGCCCCGGGCGCGUCGCAGCCCCGGAUCCCAUGGCGCCCGCCGGAGGACCAACUCCAAACUCUUUUUUUCUCUCCGUCGCGGCUCCCGUCGCGGCUCUGUUUUAUUUUUGCUCUGAGCCUUUCUCGGCGACCCUAGCGGGCGUCUCGAAAAUGAAUCAAAACUUUCAACAACGGAUCUCUUGGUUCUGGCAUCGAUGAAGAACGCAGCGAAAUGCGAUAAGUAAUGUGAAUUGCAGAAUUCAGUGAAUCAUCGAAUCUUUGAACGCACAUUGCGCCCGCCAGUAUUCUGGCGGGCAUGCCUGUCCGAGCGUCAUUUCAACCCUCGAACCCCUCCGGGGGGUCGGCGUUGGGGAUCGGCCCCUCACCGGGCCGCCCCCGAAAUACAGUGGCGGUCUCGCCGCAGCCUCUCCUGCGCAGUAGUUUGCACACUCGCACCGGGAGCGCGGCGCGGCCACAGCCGUAAAACACCCCAAACUUCUGAAAUGUUGACCUCGGAUCAGGUAGGAAUACCCGCUGAACUUAAGCAUAUCAAUAAGCGGAGGAA
rnacentral:rRNA from 1 species